CUAAGACAUGCUAGUCGAGCGUCUUCAAGCUAUGUUGAGGACGCGGCGUGCGGCUCAGUAACACGUGGCCAACCUACCCUUAGGACGGAGACAACCCCGGGAAACUGGGGCUAAUCCCCGAUAGGUGAGGACGCCUGGAAUGGUCUCUCACCCAAAGGACGUUGAAGCCAUGCUUUUCAGCGUUGCCUAAGGAUGGAGCCGCGGCCGAUCAGGUUGUUGGUGGGGUAAUGGCUCACCAAGCCUAUAACCGGUACGGGCCAUGAGAGUGGGAGCCCGGAGAUGGGCACUGAGACAAGGGCCCAGGCCCUACGGGGCGCAGCAGUUGCGAAACCUCCACAAUGCACGAAAGUGCGAUGGGGCUAACCCGAGUGCCGUCCGCUGAGGAGGGCUUUUCUCCGCUGUAAGGAGGCGGAGGAAUAAGGAGAGGGCAAGACUGGUGUCAGCCGCCGCGGUAAUACCAGCUCUCCGAGUGGUAGGGACGAUUAUUGGGCCUAAAGCGUUCGUAGCCGGCUUGGCAAGUCUCUCGUUAAAUCCAGUGACCUAAUCGCUGGGCUGCGGGAGAUACUGUCAGGCUUGGGAGCGGAAGAGGUCGACGGUAUUCUCGGGGUAGGGGUGAAAUCCUGUAUCCCGGG
rnacentral:rRNA from 1 species